rnacentral:rRNA from 1 species
UGCGUAGGCGGAUUGAUAAGUCAGUGGUGAAAACCUGCAGCUUAACUGUAGAAUUGCCGUUGAUACUGUCAGUCUUGAGUACGGUCAAGGUAGGCGGAAUGUGUAAUGUAGCGGUGAAAUGCUUAGAUAUUACACAGAACACCAAUUGCGAAGGCAGCUUACUGGGCCACAACUGACGCUGAGGCACGAAAGCGUGGGGAGCGAACAGGAUUAGAUACCCUGGUAGUCC